UACGUAGGGGGCAAGCGUUGUCCGGAUUUAUUGGGCGUAAAGAGCGUGUAGGCGGCCUUACAGGUCAGCUGUGAAAACUCGAGGCUCAACCUCGAGACGUCGGUUGAAACCGUAUGGCUAGAGUCCGGAAGAGGAGAGUGGAAUUCCCGGUGUAGCGGUGAAAUGCGCAGAUAUCGGGAAGAACACCCGUGGCGAAGGCGGCUCUCUGGGCCUGACCUGACGCUGAGGAGCGAAAGCGUGGGGAGCGAACAGG
rnacentral:rRNA from 1 species